UACGGGGGGGGCAAGCGUUGUUCGGAAUUACUGGGCGUAAAGGGCUCGUAGGUGGCCAACUAAGUCAGACGUGAAAUCCCUCGGCUUAACCGGGGAACUGCGUCUGAUACUGGAUGGCUUGAGUUUGGGAGAGGGAUGCGGAAUUCCAGGUGUAGCGGUGAAAUGCGUAGAUAUCUGGAGGAACACCGGUGGCGAAGGCGGCAUCCUGGACCAACACUGACACUGAGGAGUGAAAGCCAGGGGAGCAAACGGG
rnacentral:rRNA from 1 species